rnacentral:rRNA from 1 species
CACGUAGUUAGCCGGUGCUUAUUCUUACGGUACCGUCAUGACCCCAGGGUAUUAACCCAGGGCUUUUCGUUCCGUACAAAAGCAGCUUACAACCCGAAGGCCUUCAUCCUGCACGCGGCAUUGCUGGAUCAGGCUUGCGCCCAUUGUCCAAAAUUCCCCACUGCUGCCUCCCGUAGGAGUCUGGGCCGUGUCUCAGUCCCAGUGUGGCUGAUCGUCCUCUCAGACCAGCUACAGAUCGUCGGCUUGGUAAGCUUUUAUCCCACCAACUACCUAAUCUGCCAUCGGCCGCUCUAGUAGCACAAGGUCUUGCGAUCCCCUGCUUUCAUCCGUAGAUCUCAUGCGGUAUUAGCCACUCUUUCGAGUAGUUAUCCCCCACUACUAGGCACGUUCCGAUGUAUUACUCACCCGUUCGCCACUCGUCAGCAUCCGAAGACCUGUUACCGUUCGACUUGCUAUGUGUAAGGCAUCGCCGCCAGCGUUCAAUCUGAGCCAGGA